rnacentral:rRNA from 1 species
GAGACAGCGACGGGUUCUCCACCCAUACGGGGAUGGAGCGACAGAAGUAUGGAAAUAGGAUAAGGUAGCGGCGAGACGAGCCGUUUAAAUAGGUGUCAAGUGGAAGUGCAGUGAUGUAUGCAGCUGAGGCAUCCUAACGAACGAACGAUUUGAAC